ACCUGCAGGAAAGUAGAGGACCGGAGUUGGAGAUCCCUGCUGUAGAGUUUACUGUGAGUUAUAAACCAGAUGUAUCAACUACUCACUCCAUGUGAUAUUUGCUCUCACAUGUGUGGGUGAUAUAUUUAAUUGGUUCAGUCAGGUGUAGUAAAAGUGCAUGAGGAUUUGAAUGAUGAGUUCAGGUACUAGUCAGCAGUCAUGAGCAGAUGAUCAUCUGAUGGGUUUAAGGAUAAGUCUGAAGAUAAAACUGUUGAAGGGCAGCUUUUCUUCUGAAAACAAGAGUGAGCUUUGGAUUCCUCCAUUAUUGUCCAAAAACACAAGCCCAGCUGGAGUUUACACUCCUGACUUUUUAACUGCAGAGGUUGGGAUGUCAGUUAUCAUAUUGGAUUGUGCCAAUGGACGAAGCAUUUAAAGAAUCUGUAAAUGAGUAUAUCUGCCAUCUACUACAAUGAACAGUCCUCUGAUGAUGGAUCAAAUGCCUGCUGAAGAGGACAGCCUGACCACUGUGAAUGUCCGGCCAAUAUUGUUGGACAAAUCAACUGUUCCCAGAGGACAGAUGCUGCCAGUGUGCCAAGAUCAAUUUCUUUUUCCCUCAUUUCAUUUUGUGGAAAAUGACUGGAUAAACCAACGUUCUGCAUUCAUAAACCUCACUUCACAUGCUUUCACUCCACCAACAAUCAGCCACACUUCACAACAGAUGGGACUAGACCCGUGCUUAAGCCAAAUGUCAUGUGAUGUCACUCCUGGCAAAAUGGAUCCUGUUGCUUUUCCAUCAGUUAAUUUAGCCCAAGACUACAGUCCGCCUGAACAGGAGUGUGCUGGAAGAAAUGUAAUCUUAUCACUAGAGAGUGAGACUGAUUCUGCCCUGAUUGGGCCACCUAACAGUACUGCAGGUGAAGAUUUUACAAACCAACUAUUCAUCCCGUUUUCUCAAUGUCUGAGUGCAACUUCAUAUUCGGUUGACCUCAAACCUGGAAAUGGAACUCAUCCAGUGUCAGACCCCAUGUCUUAUUCACUUGUCCAGGACAGUGACUGUCAGUAUGAUAUGGUUAGUACCUUAUGGCUGGAUCUGUUUUUGGAUAGCAGCGGUAACUUGUCCUUCCCUGAUGGUAAUCUUGUAGACACUGUUUUUUCACCUUAAAUGGACCCAUGCAGUUUAAGCGUUAUCAGUUGUAUGCUUAAU